rnacentral:rRNA from 1 species
GACGAACGCUGGCGGCGUGCUUAACACAUGCAAGUCGAACGGAAAGGCCCUGCUUUUGUGGGGUGCUCGAGUGGCGAACGGGUGAGUAACACGUGAGUAACCUACCCUUGACUUUGGGAUAACUUCAGGAAACUGGGGCUAAUACCGGAUAGGAGCUCCUGCUGCAUGGUGGGGGUUGGAAAGUUUCGGCGGUUGGGGAUGGACUCGCGGCUUAUCAGCUUGUUGGUGGGGUAGUGGCUUACCAAGGCUUUGACGGGUAGCCGGCCUGAGAGGGUGACCGGCCACAUUGGGACUGAGGUACGGCCCAGACUCCUACGGGAGGCAGCAGUGGGGAAUAUUGCACAAUGGGCGGAAGCCGGAUGCAGCAACGCCGCGUGCGGGAUGACGGCCUUCGGGUUGUAAACCGCUUUCGCCUGUGACGAAGCGUGAGUGACGGUAAUGGGUAAAGAAGCACCGGCUAACUACGUG